rfam:Capsicum annuum cultivar Zunla-1 chromosome 11, whole genome shotgun sequence
AGUUGAUGAUUUGGACAGUCCCAAAGAAGAGCUUUGAAUCACUCCUAAGCAUGACAUAAAUUCUCAUUUGGCUUCUGUUUGAAGCACAUAAUCUCACUACACAAUCU